rnacentral:misc_RNA from 1 species
GAGUCGUAACAAGGUUUCCGUAGGUGAACCUGCGGAAGGAUCAUUAAAGUAAUUGGUUAUACAUAUCCUGUAUAACAUGCAUCGCAAACCCAAAUUCCCCAGUUACGGAUGUAACCCCUUUGGCCCCUUGGUUUUGGCCUUUCCCAAUGGGGGCCUGACUUUGGUCACUCUUGUGAUGCGAAUCCCAAGAGAGUCCCCAUGGGGGGUAAUCAUUAAAUUCAUGAAUCCAAUGUCUUCUGUCUGAAAUGUUAAAAACAAAUGUUAAAA